AAAUACUUGGUUUGCUUUCAACUUCACUCCACCUGUCUGACUCUCUCUAUCAAACGAACACGCAGGGGAGUUGUACCCCGGACGAGAAGUGGGGGUAGCCCACCUUUCAUUUUCUUUUCUACAACAAUUUGGUGACCCCGACCUCUGAACGAGUCUGACGAAGGACAGCAUCCGGCACUGAUCCACUCACGGCCGAACUUAACAAAACAGGUAAGCAGAGCCGGUUUAAUCAAAUUCUGCAUAUUGGCUAUUUCAAAUUUGAGUGGAGCGGCUGUCGGGCUGCGGUCUGGAGGGAGCAGUAAGCAUACCAAUGUGUUUUACUCGUCUUUUGUACAUAUGUGAGUAGAGACAAAAGGGUCUCCUCGGGAGUUGAGACAAAAGGGUCUCCUCUGGUUUUAUAUAUAGGUGAGUUGAGACAAGGGUCUCCUCAGGAGUUGAGACAAGGGUCUCCUCUGGUUUUAUAUAUAGGUGAGUUGAGACAAGGGUCUCCUCAGGAGUUGAGACAAGG